UACGGGGGGGGCAAGCGUUGUUCGGAAUUACUGGGCGUAAAGGGCUCGUAGGUGGCCAACUAAGUCAGACGUGAAAUCCCUCGGCUUAACCGGGGAACUGCGUCUGAUACUGGAUGGCUUGAGUUCGGGAGAGGGAUGCGGAAUUCCAGGUGUAGCGGUGAAAUGCGUAGAUAUCUGGAGGAACACCGGUGGCGAAGGCGGCUCACUGGCUCAUUACUGACGCUCAGGCGCGAUAGCGUGGGGAUCAAACAGG
rnacentral:rRNA from 1 species